rnacentral:lncRNA from 10 species
CAGGAACAGCUCCAGUCUACAGCUCCCAGCGUGAGCGACACAGAAGACCGGUGAUUUCUACAUUUCCAACCGAGAUGUGACAAGGAAGACUGCAACCCUAUUUGCUUCUGAUAACCUUCCUAUGACUAAGGUGUGCUACAACAACAUGACCCCAGCAAGCAAGAUUAUUUCUGUGCACUGAUAGGAAAAGGAAGCAAGCCAUGAGUGCCUGUUGAAGCUGGAAAAGCAAGAUUGAUGUUGAGGCUUGAUUGAAGGAGUGCAAGGUCACUCACAGAAGAAGUCAUGGUGCAAGAGUACAUCUCAAUCCUGCCCUAGCCUGGAAACAGCAUGCUCUGCUGCAUUUGCAUGCCCAAGGCACUGCUUGUCCUAAGCCCCAUCCUAGAAACUCUCUAUAGCUUUAUUUCCCUUAAGAAGGUAGAAAAACAUCAACAACCUAUCCGUACUAGCUGAAUGGCCUCUAGGCCUAUUGGGCAAGUACACCCAGAUGAGCAUCACUCUUAAGUGGCUGCUUCAGGUCAAGGUCUUUUGUGUUGGGGCAGCUGCAAACUGGCCUCUUUGGCUAUCCCAAGACCCUCUAAGUCCAAGGAGCUUUCAACCUCUAGUGAUGUUCAAUCUCUGUAAAGCUGUGUAAUGGGGGAUAAACAUUAAAGUUGUUUCACAUUUAAAAAAAA